UGCAUAUUUUAUAAAGACUUUCAAAGUGAAAAUUUUUCAUAUGGUGAAAUAAAUUUUUCAUUGUAUCUGAUGUAAGAAAUAUGGUUUUAAGUGUGUUACCUUCAUAAUUAUUCCUAAACAAAACUAGAGUGCAAAAUAAUCUUGGACUAUAUCUGUUAGGUCAACUAAAUGAGAGUAAUAAUUCCUAGAUUUCAUCUUGGCCUUUUGGGUUUCUGGGGCAUUUUAGGUCUUUGAUGUAAAGUGGACUUAACCAUUUCACUUUUCUAAGAAAUUUCUUCCUCUCUCCUGGUAGGUAUCUGAUGAUUUGUGAACCCUAGAUGACUAUUCUGUGGAGUCAUCUUUCCUUGCCUUUGAAUUACCUUUCCCUAGGCCCUGAGUCAACAUCAAUAUUUUAUACAUCCAAAUUGAGUGUGCUCUAGUGAGGUCUACCAAGUGUACUGAUGAAAAUCACCCACAUAUAUACAGGAGACAAAGAGAUGAUGUAAUAAUGGAAAUGCUCUUCCUACUUUGAAAGAAAAGAAGCUCAACUUGUAUGUUCUCUCUAGUUCAUUUCCUUCCAUUCACUCUUGUGACAUAUUUUUAAAUAAAUGUAACAAAGUAAUUCUGAAAGAGUAAAUU
rnacentral:lncRNA from 1 species